GGGUUGUGAGGUUAAGCGACUAAGCGUACACGGUGGAUGCCCUGGCAGUCAGAGGCGAUGAAGGACGUGCUAAUCUGCGAUAAGCGUCGGUAAGGUGAUAUGAACCGUUAUAACCGGCGAUUUCCGAAUGGGGAAACCCAGUGUGAUUCGUCACACUAUCAUUACGUGAAUACAUAGCGUAAUGAA
rnacentral:rRNA from 1 species